rnacentral:rRNA from 1 species
GAUUUCUGGCAUUGGUGCAUCUGACCCGCUGCGGUUACGUGGUCGAGUGUCGGUAUGUACCUGCCAUCCUUCUAGGUCCAUAUCGGACUUCUUUAUUGAAGGACGGUAUGCGUUCUAGAUCUUUUACUUUGAAAAAAUUAGAGUGUUUCAAGCAGGCAGUGUUUGCUAUGAAUACAUUAGCAUGGAAUAAUAAUUUAGGACUUCGGUUCUAUUUUGUUGGUUUCUAGGACUGAAGUAAUGAUUGAUAGGGAUAGUUGGGGGUGCUAGUAUUCAGCGGCCAGAGGUGAAAUUCUCGGAUUCGCUGAAGACUAACUUAUGCGAAAGCAUU